CCACUAAAUGGGCGCAGCCUGAUGCAGCAAUGCCGCGUGUGUGAAGAAGGCCUUCGGGUUGUAAAGCACUUUCCGUUGGGAAGAUAAUGACGUUACCAACAGAAGAAGCACCGGCUAACUCCGUGCCAGCAGCCGCGGUAAUUAUA
rnacentral:rRNA from 1 species